rnacentral:misc_RNA from 1 species
UCAGUCUCAUCAACUGCAGGAGUCUCAUUAACAUUCAGGUUCCCAGCAAUUUCUCCACAUAUCUUUUGAAUUUGCGACUGUACAUCAGAAAACUCCUUUACUCUCUCCUCUUUCUGUUUCCAGAGCAGUUCAAGUGCUGGUGCUAUAGCUGCAAGUUGUUCCUUGAUUGUUCCAGAAGUUUUCUCUGGCAUUCCAACAAAACUUUUUUCUCCAAGGGCUGAAAGAAGACUGGCCAGUUCAAUUUUGGCAUCUGACAAUGCCUCAAUAAGCUGUGCCCUUGACUUUGCAGCCUGCUCAACUUUCUUCUUAUACACAUCCAAGCACUCUUGUUCUAUUUCAAGAAGCAUUUUGUCUCGUUCCUCGUCACUCUCACCAACCUCGUCCCAGAUUUGCUGCAAUUUUUGCAGCAGAGUACCACAAGUUGUUUCUCCAAGAAGAGGAUUAUGACCAUCUGUGACUGCCAUUGACAGUAAUUUUACAACCUAACAUGCAUCACAGAGCAUUUAAAAGCAAUUCUUGAUUUAUGGGGGUUUGUUAGUUGCAGAUCUUAAGCUUCCUAUCUGGUCUUGGGUCACUCGGUGUUUG